rnacentral:sRNA from 1 species
GCUGGGUGUUGUGGUGGGUGCCUGUGGUCCCAGCUACUUGGGAGGCUGAGGCAGGAGACUCCCUUAAGCCCAGGAGUUGGAGGUUGCUGUGAGCUGUGAUGCCACAGCACCAUACCCAGGGAGAUAGCUUGAGGCUCUGUCUCAAAAAAAAAAAAAAAAGAGAGAUAGUCUCACUUUGUUGCCCUCAGUAGAGUGCUGGGGCAUCAUAGCUCACAGUAACCUCAAACUCUUAAGCUAAAGUGAUUUUCUUGCCU